rnacentral:rRNA from 1 species
UACGAAGGGGGCUAGCGUUGUUCGGAAUUACUGGGCGUAAAGCGCGCGCAGGCGGCUAUCCAAGUCAGUGGUGAAAGCCCGGAGCUCAACUCCGGAACUGCCAUUGAAACUGUUUAGCUUGAGGACGAGAGAGGUGAGUGGAAUUCCCAGUGUAGAGGUGAAAUUCGUAGAUAUUGGGAAGAACACCGGUGGCGAAGGCGGCUCACUGGCUCAUACUGGACGCUGAGGUGCGAAAGCGUGGGGAGCAAACAGG